rnacentral:rRNA from 1 species
GAUGAACGCUAGCUACAGGCUUAACACAUGCAAGUCGAGGGGAAACGACAUCGAAAGCUUGCUUUUGAUGGGCGUCGACCGGCGCACGGGUGAGUAACGCGUGUCCAACCUGCCCAUCACUUGGGAAUAACCUUGCGAAAGUAAGACUAAUACCCAAUGAUAUCCCACGAAGGCAUCGGAAUGGGAUUAAAGAUUUAUCGGUGAUGGAUGGGGAUGCGUCUGAUUAGCUUGUUGGCGGGGUAACGGCCCACCAAGGCAACGAUCAGUAGGGGUUCUGAGAGGAAGGUCCCCCACAUUGGAACUGAGACACGGUCCAAACUCCUACGGGAGGCAGCAGUGAGGAAUAUUGGUCAAUGGGCGAGAGCCUGAACCAGCCAAGUAGCGUGCAGGAAGACGGCCCUAUGGGUGGUAAACUGCUUUUAUAAGGGAAUAAAGUGGGUCACGUGUGACUUUUUGCAUGUACCUUAUGAAUAAGGACCGGCUAAUUCCGUG